GCAGGGUGGCCACCCAGUAAUCAGCACCAGUUAGAAUGUGGGCAACUCGGCAGUCAUUGCGCCGGCACUUUGGUGACUCUAGAUAACCCCGGGCCAAUCGCACGUCCCCGUGACGGCGACAAUGCAUUCAGAUGUCUGCCCUAUCAACUUUCGAUGAUACUUUCUGCGUCUACCAUGGUGACCAUGGAUAACCGUGAAUCAGGGUUAGAUUCUGGAGAGGGAGCCUGAGAAACGGCUACCACGUCAAAGGAAGGCAGCAGGUGUGCAAAUUACCCACUCCCGACGUGAGGAUGUAGUGAC